GACGAACGCUGGCGGCGUGCCUAAUACUUGCAAGUAGAACGCCGUUUCGAACGGGUGAGUAACGCGUAGGUAACUGCCUCAUAGCAGGGGAUAACUAUUGGAAACGAUAGCUAAUACCGCAUACUGUGAGAUGGACCUGCGUUGUAUUAGCUAGGUGGGGAGGUAAAGGCUCUCCAAGGCGACGAGACAUAGCCGACCUGAGAGGGUGAUAGGCCACACUGGGAAGGAGACACGGACCAGAAUCCUACGGGAAGAAGCAGAAGGGAAUCGUCGGCAAUGGACGGAAGUCUGAUCGCGCAACGCAGCGUGAGUGAAGAAGGUUUUCGGAGCGGAAAGAUCUGUUGUUAGAGAAGCGGUAACUAACGAGAAAGGGACGGAUAACUAGGAGCCAGCAGCCGGGUAAUAC
rnacentral:rRNA from 1 species